rnacentral:rRNA from 1 species
ACGAACGCUGGCGGCGUGCUUAACACAUGCAAGUCGAACGGAAAGGCCCUGCUUUUGUGGGGUGCUCGAGUGGCGAACGGGUGAGUAACACGUGAGUAACCUGCCCUUGACUUUGGGAUAACUUCAGGAAACUGGGGCUAAUACCGGAUAGGAGCUCCUGCUGCAUGGUGGGGGUUGGAAAGUUUCGGCGGUUGGGGAUGGACUCGCGGCUUAUCAGCUUGUUGGUGGGGUAGUGGCUUACCAAGGCUUUGACGGGUAGCCGGCCUGAGAGGGUGACCGGCCACAUUGGGACUGAGAUACGGCCCAGACUCCUACGGGAGGCAGCAGUGGGGAAUAUUACACAAUGGGCGGAAGCCUGAUGCAGCAACGCCGCGUGCGGGAUGACGGCCUUCGGGUUGUAAACCGCUUUCGCCUGUGACGAAGCGUGAGUGACGGUAAUGUGUAAAGAAGCACCGGCUAACUACGUG